rnacentral:lncRNA from 1 species
CAACCCUUUAGGUCAGUGGAGAAAACAUGGGAGUUACAUGUGGACGUAACAGCCCACAGGAGAAGAUCAAACCAGGGGUCUGUUUCCAGGGCACCAAAAGCUAAGAAACAGGAUGUCUUCCCAGGGCUGAGGUGUCACCACUGAGAAUUAAGCUUGCAAAGGACAAACCAAUUCUGAAAUGUACCUGUCCCUUUCUACUUCAGAAGGAAAGGAAUUGGAAUGGAGGAAGUGAUUUCCUUACACAUACUUCUAUAAAUCCUCAUGGGACACAGUAUGGGAGCCCUUCCAGGAUGUGACCUUUAGAUAUUGACGGAGGAGGUGGAUAUGCAUAUAUUCUCAUAUUGUAAGUUAUGUAUUGACCAUAAUGGCAAUUUUCCCCAGUUCCUUUGUGAAUAGUUUCAUUUUUAGGUAUUUGUAUGGCAUCACAAUAUAGUUAGUCUUCCAUAAUAUAUAAUCUUUGGGUCAAUUCUGUUUAUCUAGAAUCUUAAGC